UACGAAGGGGGCUAGCGUUGCUCGGAAUUACUGGGCGUAAAGGGCGCGUAGGCGGACAGUUUAGUCAGAGGUUAAAGCCCAGGCUCAACCUUGGAAUCGCCUUUGAUACUGGCUGUCUUGAGUACGGGAGAGGUGUGUGGAACUCCGAGUGUAGAGGUGAAAUUCGUAGAUAUUCGGAAGAACACCAGUGGCGAAGGCGACACACUGGCCCGUAACUGACGCUGAGGCACGAAAGCGUGGGGAGCAAACAGGG
rnacentral:rRNA from 1 species